rnacentral:rRNA from 1 species
CACCAGCGCCUCGAGUGGUACCCACGAAUAUUGGGCCUAAAGCGUCCGUAGCUGGACCUCUAAGUCCGCUGUGAAAUGUUGGGGCUCAACCCUAACGCGUGCAGCGGAUACUGUUGGUCUUGGGAACGGGGGAGGGUCGGGGUACUUCCAGGGUAGGGGUAAAAUCCGUUGAGCCUGGAAGGACCACCAGUGGCGAAGGCGCCGAUCCAAAACGUGUCCGACGGUGAGGGACGAAAGCUGGGGGAGCGAA